GAUGAACGCUGGCGGCGUGCCUAAUACAUGCAAGUCGAGCGAACGGACGAGAAGCUUGCUUCUCUGAUGUUAGCGGCGGACGGGUGAGUAACAAGUGGAUAACCUACCUAUAAGACUGGGAUAACUUCGGGAAACCGGAGCUAAUACCGGAUGAUAUUUUGAACCGCAUGGUUCAAAAGUGAAGGACGGUCUUGCUGUCACUUGUAGAUGGAUCCGCGCUGCAUUAGCUAGUUGGUAAGGUAACGGCUUACCAAGGCAACGAUGCAUAGCCGACCUGGGAGGGUGAUCGGCCACACUGGAACUGAGACACGGUCCAGACUCCUACGGGAGGCAGCAGUAGGGAAUCUUCCGCAAUGGGCGAAAGCCUGACGGAGCAACGCCGCGUGAGUGAUGAAGGUCUUCGGAUCGUAAAACUCUGUUAUUAGGGAAGAACAUAUGUGUAAGUAACUGUGCACAUCUUGACGGUACCUAAUCAGAAAGCGACGGCUAACUACGUG
rnacentral:rRNA from 1 species